rnacentral:rRNA from 1 species
AGCAGCCGCGGUAAUUCCAGCUCCAAUAGCGUAUAUUAAAGUUGUUGCAGUUAAAAAGCUCGUAGUUGAACUUCGGGGUUCACCCAUUGGUCAGGCUUAAUUGUCUGUACUGGUGAGAUGAGUCUCUACCUUCUGAGGAACUUUCAUGCCAUUUAUUUGGUGUGAUGGGAAAUCAGGACUGUUACUUUGAAAAAAUUAGAGUGUUUAAAGCAGGCUAACGUCUGAAUACAUUAGCAUGGAAUAAUGAAAUAGGACGGAUUGAUUCUAUUUCGUUGGUUUCUAGGGUCACCGUAAUGAUUAAUAGGGAUAGUUGGGGGCAUUAGUAUUCAAUUGUCAGAGGUGAAAUUCUUGGAUUUAUUGAAGACUAACUACUGCGAAAGCAUUUGCCAAGGAUGUUUUCAUUAAUCAAGAACGAAAGUUAGGGGAUCGAAGACGAUCAGAUACCGUCGUAGUCUUAACCAUAAACUAUGCCGACUAGGGAUCGGACGAAGUUAAUUUUAUAAUGACGCGUUCGGCACCUUACG